rnacentral:rRNA from 1 species
UACGUAGGGGCCUAGCGUUGUCCGGAUUUAUUGGGCGUAAAGAGCUCGUAGGCGGUUCGGCAAGUCAGGUGUGAAAUCUCCGCGCUCAACGCGGAGGAGCCACCUGAUACUGCCGUGACUUGAGUCCGGUAGGGGAGUGCGGGAAUUCCUGGUGUAGCGGUGAAAUGCGCAGAUAUCAGGGAGGAACACCAAUGGCGAAGGCAGCACUCUGGGCCGGUACUGACGCUGGAGGAGCGAAAGCGUGGGGAGCAAACACGG